GUGAGGAAUAUUGGUCAAUGGACGAGAGUCUGAACCAGCCAAGUAGCGUGAAGGAUGACUGCCCUAUGGGUUGUAAACUUCUUUUAUAAGGGAAUAAAGUGAGGGACGUGUCCCUUUUUGUAUGUACCUUAUGAAUAAGGAUCGGCUAACUCCGUGCCAGCAGCCGCGGUAAUACGGAGGAUCCAAGCGUUAUCCGGAUUUAUUGGGUUUAAAGGGAGCGUAGGUUGACAUAUAAGUCAGCAGUGAAAGUUUACGGCUCAACCGUGAAAUUGCAGUUGAUACUGUAUGUCUUGAGUGUACAAGAGGUGGGCGGAAUUCGUGGUGUAGCGGUGAAAUGCUUAGAUAUCACGAAGAACUCCAAUUGCGAAGGCAGCUCACUGGGGUACAACUGACACUGAGGCUCGAAAGUGUGGGUAUCAAACAGGAUUAGAUACCCUAGUAGUCC
rnacentral:rRNA from 1 species